rnacentral:rRNA from 1 species
CAGUCGCCGCGGUAAUACGGAGGGUGCAAGCGUUAUCCGGAUUUACUGGGCGUAAAGCGUGCGUAGGCGGCUUUUUAAGUCGGAUGUGAAAUCCCUGAGCUUAACUUAGGAAUUGCAUUCGAUACUGGGAAGCUAGAGUAUGGGAGAGGAUGGUAGAAUUCCAGGUGUAGCGGUGAAAUGCGUAGAGAUCUGGAGGAAUACCGAUGGCGAAGGCAGCCAUCUGGCCUAAUACUGACGCUGAGGUACGAAAGCAUGGGGAGCAAACAGGAUUAGAUACCCCUGUAGUCCCUGUCUCUUAUAA